UUGUGUCUGCAGUGAGGAAGCAGAGCUUCCUUUCUGAGCUUCCUGAAGUCUGAGACCCUUGGCUGUGGAAUGAUGCUCCCUGACUUUAGGCUGGGUCUACCCGCCUCAACCCAGUUUAUUUCCAUGAAAAGCCACUCAUCUUUUGGGCUUGAUAGUCAAAAGUGAUACCUCUCUGCCUCUGCAGCCAUGGAGACCCCGGGAGACUGGGACAACUGUCUAGAUACGAUCAGCGGGAGAAGAGGAGGAGGGUUUUCUGAACCAAGUGCGGUGUUCUGGAGGAAGGAGGAGAGAAGAGAAGUCUCCAUGAGGAAAGGACAGAUGGAGCAGGAGCAGCCAGAGAGAGACUAGGAUGGCAGCUAACCUAUGUGACUGGAAAGUUGCUGAUUUGAAAAUUUGAAAGAACAAAACAAAACAGGUCUAUCGAUGGACAUGGAGCUCACGGAUUCAGCUACACUGACCGACGAGUGAGCCCCAAGGAUUCUCAUGUCUUUGCUUCUCCAGCACUGGGAUCACAGGUGGUAUGGUUCCUAACUUCCCGCCUGGCUGUUCAGCCUCUGCUGGGUAUCUUGUGGUGGCUCUCUUUCUUUCCCAGCCUCUCCAUCUGUCAGAUGCUUGAACUUGGCCCUAGAAAGCAUCACGAAGCUUAGUGAGAAAGGGUCAGGAGAAGCGGAUUCCUGAGCCCGCUACUCUUCCUAGGGACACACUGCUGCGAGCUUCUGUUUAUCUCCGUUGAGUUGCUCUACACGGGAGCCAGUGGUUUAAAAGAUGACUUCAACGUGGUAGGAAAGGAUACUUUAUGACGGUAGUUCACAGAAUUUUGCGAAAAUGAGACACUACGCGAAUUUUCAAAGCGGGAACCUAGUCUUGCAAAGGCUGGUCCUUUCACUACUCUAAGUGCAGCUGCCCUGCUGUUUCUCACACUAGUGACUCGUGAGUUCGAUUCGCCGCUUCAACUUUUUGGCUCUAGUUCUACCACCGUGCUGCACUACUAAGAACCACCUGACGCACUCGGAGAGCCGCGCAAAUGUAUUCUGCGCAGGCGCAUCGCUUGCGGAAAGCCCUGCUACGCCAUUGGCCAAUAGACUUAUGCAUAUGUAAA